rnacentral:rRNA from 1 species
GCUUGUCUCAAAGAUUAAGCCAUGCAUGUCUAAGUAUAACUCUUUUACUUUGAAAACUGCGAACGGCUCAUUAUAUCAGUUAUAGUUUCUUUGAUAGUCCCUUACUACUUGGAUACCCGUAGUAAUUCUAGAGCUAAUACAUGCAUCAAUACCCAACUGUUCGCGGAAGGGUAGUAUUUAUUAGGUAUAGACCAACCCUCCUCGGAGGUGCUUUGGUGAUUCAUAAUAACUUUUCGAAUCGCAUGGCCUUGUGCCGGCGAUGGAUCAUUCAAGUUUCUGCCCUAUCAACUUUCAACCGUAAGGUAGUGGCCUACGGUGGUGGUAACGGGUGACGGAGGAUUAGGGUUCGAUUCCGGAGAGGGAGCCUGAGAAACGGCUACCACAUCCAAGGAAGGCAGCAGG